rnacentral:rRNA from 1 species
AAUGAACGUUGGCGGCGUGGAUUAGGCAUGCAAGUCGCGCGAGAAGUUUCCUUCGAGAGACGGACAGCGGCGGAAGGGAGAGGAAUAAGUAGAAAUCUGCCCUCGGGACGGGGAUAGCGGCGGGAAACUGCCGGUAAUACCCGAUAACAUCUUUGGAUCAAAUGGUGUGAUUCCGCCUGAGGAUGAGUCUACUUCCUAUUAGCUAGUUGGUGUGGUAAUGGCUCACCAAGGCAACGAUGGGUAGCGGGUGUGAGAGCACGAUCCGCCUCACUGGGACUGAGACACUGCCCAGACACCUACGGGUGGCUGCAGUCGAGAAUCUUCGGCAAUGGGGGAAACCCUGACCGAGCGACGCCGCGUGCGGGAUGAAGGCCCUCGGGUUGUAAACCGCUGUCGUAAGGGAACAAAUCUAAGAGGGUACUCCCUUUUAGUUGAGUGAUCUUAGGAGGAAGGACGGGCUAAGUUCGUG